GGAAAAGUGGCUGAGAGGUUGAAGGCACUUGACUCGAAAUCAAGCAUACUCUAACGGGUAUCGGGAGUUCGAAUCUCCCCUUUUCCGCCA
rnacentral:tRNA from 1 species